rnacentral:rRNA from 1 species
GACGAACGCUGGCGGCGUGCUUAACACAUGCAAGUCGAACGGAAAGGCGCUGCGUUUGUGGGGUGCUCGAGUGGCGAACGGGUGUGUAACACGUGAGGAACCUGCCCUUGUCUUUGGGAUAACUUCAGGGGACUGGGGCUAAUAUCGGAUAGGAUCUCCUGAUGCAUGGUGGGGGUUGGAGAGUUUCGGCGGUUGGGUAUGGACUCGCGGCUUAUCCGCUGGUUUGUGUGGUAGUGGCUGACCAAGGCUUUGACGGGUAGGCGGCCUGAGAGGGUGACCAGCCACCAUGGGACUGAGAGACGGAGCAGAAUCCUACGGGAGGCAGCAGUGGAGAAUAUUGCACAACGGGCGGACGCCUGAUGCAGAAACGCCGCGAGCGGGAUGCCGGCCUUCGGGUUGUAAACCGCUUUCGACUGUGACGAAGCGUGCGUGACGGUAAUGGGUAAAGAAGCACCGGCUAACUACGUG